AUACUGGGUGGUUGUCAGUGUUAAGUAGCGAUCCUUGCAUGCGCUGAGCCAACGUCAUGUGAUGGGACUGUGUUUCAUCGGGGCUUCCACUGCUACGGAGCUAAGAGCUUGAGUCACUAACAAAGAGCACCCUGCAACAGAUGAAUCCAAUUCCGCCUCCACCCUUUGAGGACAACACCCUGGUGAGCCUCAGGUCAGGGGGUUUAUAACCUGAGGAAGCCUGGCGGUCACGUGACCUGCAGGUGAUGACACACUGGAUUUCUUGUGAAGCAGCAACACUCAGCAGCUACAGCAUAUGCCUCCGAGUGGAGGCUGUCGGUGGUUCGGGAUUGGAAAGGAGAUGUCACGCUGGCAAUGAAUAACCCACGACCACUGUUACAUCACAAAGGUUUUUGGGGACCGGUUGUACAAAAAUAUUGUGGAGCUUGCUAAUAACAAUUUGCAAAAAGAUUUUUUA